CACAAUAGCACUUGUUUCAGAAUUGGAGUCAUGCUUCUCUAACACUAUCACUGGUUUAUCAACUAAGUUUAUGUAAUAUUCUACAACUUUUUUUUUUUUUUUUUAGUCUUUUCAACAAUCUUCACAGCUUCUUCACCAGGAGUAGAUUCCAUCUCAAGAAGCCACUUUCUUUGCCUAUCCAUAAGAAACAACUCCUCAUCUGUUAAAAUUUUAAUCAUGAGAUGGCAGCAAUUCAGUCACAUCUUCAGGCUCCAGUUUUAAUUCUAGUUCUCUUGCUGUUUCUACCAUAUCUUUAGUUUCUUCCUUCACUGAAGUCUUGAACUCCUCAACAGUCAUCGUAAGGGUUGGAAUCAACUUCUUCCAAACUCCUGUGGAGGGUCUUGUUUCACUGUCAUUGGCUCCUGUAGUGGUUGCUGAAGGUGGAUAUGGCUGU
rnacentral:lncRNA from 1 species